GAUAACAGGCUUAUCUCCCCCAAGAGUCCACAUCGACGGGGAGGUUUGGCACCUCGAUGUCGGCUCAUCACAUCCUGGGGCUGUAGUAGGUCCCAAGGGUUGGGCUGUUCGCCCAUUAAAGUGGUACGCGAGCUGGGUUCAGAACGUCGUGAGACAGUUCGGUCCCUAUCCGUCGCAGGCGUAGGAAAUUUGAGAAGACCUGUCCUUAGUACGAGAGGACCGGGAUGGACGUACCUCUGGUGUACCAGUUGUUCUGCCAAGGGCAUGGCUGGGUAGCUAUGUACGGAAUGGAUAAGCGCUGAAAGCAUCUAAGCGCGAAGCCAACUUCAAGAUAAGAUUUCCCACCGCAAGGGUAAGACCCCAGAAAGACUAUCUGGUUGAUAGGUCGAAGGUGUAAGUGCAGCAAUGUAUUUAGCUUAUCGAUACUAAUAGGUCGAGGACUUGACCAAAUU
rnacentral:rRNA from 1 species